AUUGAACGCUGGCGGCAGGCCUAACACAUGCAAGUCGAGCGAGCGGCGGACGGGUGAGUAAUGUAUGGGGACUGCCCGAUAGAGGGGGAUAACUACUGGAAACGGUAGCUAAUACCGCAUACUAUCGGAUAACCCAUAUGGGAUUAGCUAGUAGGUGAGGUAAUGGCGCACCUAGGCGACGAUCCCUAGCUUGUCUGAGAGGAUGAUCAGCCACACUGGGACUGAGACACGGCCCAGACUCCUACGGAGGCAGCAGGGGGGAAUAUUGCACAAUGGGCGCAAGCCUGAUAGAGCCAGGCCGCGUGUGUGAAGAAGGCCCUAGGGUUGUAAAGGACUUUCAGUCGGGAGGCGGUACCGAAAGAGGAAGCACCGGCUAACUCCGUGCCAGCAGCCGCGGUAAUUC
rnacentral:rRNA from 1 species